GGGGGCGUAGCUCAGUUGGUUAGAGCGCUGGCCUGUCACGCCAGAGGCCGCCGGUUCGAGACCGGUCGUCCCCGCCA
rnacentral:tRNA from 1 species